UACGACUGGUUGAUCAGCGGGUAC
rnacentral:siRNA from 1 species